CCUCCUACUUCUGCUCCCCCGCCGCCGUUGCAGUGUCCCCAAAUCAAGCGCGGUCGUUAGGAGGAUGCUGAUGGGACAGCUGGGCGGGGGCAAGAGCAAUUCCAAUCGCGGCCACGCCGCACGUUAUCCAGUUCAGCUGCUCCAGCACCCCACACCGGCGGCGAUUGGCGGCACCAGCAGAGCACAAAGGGUUCAAUAUCCAGCUGCCCGCAACGGUGGAUAAGUUCAAUUAUGUCGAGAGACAACUGAUUUGGUCUGGUAAAUUCUUCAAUUACCUCACAUCUGAUGGGUUUUACAAAGACCAGCUUCAUGCGAAGACACAGAUGAUCAAUAACAAGCCCGGGGCCUACACUAUGGAUGUCUCUUUUCAACACAUGUGCAAAUCAUGUGUCGACGUUGAUCUGAUAAGAGCUAUCAUCAACAGCCGUUUCAAGUAUGCAUGCAGUUUUUAUACUGCUCAUUAGUUAAAGCUGCUUUUAUCUCUACACAUAUGUACCGGUGUGUGUGUGUGUGUAAAUUAAGUGUUGGAAAAAUAUGUGUCUUUUGUGUAAAUGAACUGCUGGAACAAUCUCCGUGUUUCCAUUUCAGUCUUCAUCCUUGGCUACUACCUGGUGCCAAUUUUUUUUUAAGGAAGUUCCUAAGCGAUAUAGUUUAUGCAAAAGAGGAAACAACAAUUAAUGGGACACGCUUAUCUUUUACUGACUUCCCAGAGAGGUCUGAUAUCCUAUCUUUAGGAAAUGGUUACACAAACCCACUUUCUUUUAUCUUACAUAACACAAUGAUUAUUUGUCUUUCAUAUAGCGUGCAUAUGUCUAGAGACUUCAGGAAAAUUGGUCCUCUUGUUCAACAUGUGCCUUUAAUUGGGGCCAAAACUUCUCUUGUUGCCCCAACUUUCCAUGGGAGCCGUUUUAUGCACAUCUUGAUGGUUGGUAUAUCGGCAAAUCAUUCCAAUCGUAUCAGCUGGGAUGGCGAAUUCAGUGAAGAAAACAUUAUGAUUAUUGGACACAAAUCUAAGAGCA